ACCGAGUGAGGGCCCUCUGGGUCCAACCUCCCACCCGUGUCUAUCGUACCUUGUUGCUUCGGCGGGCCCGCCGUUUCGACGGCCGCCGGGGAGGCCUCGCGCCCCCGGGCCCGCGCCCGCCGAAGACCCCAACAUGAACGCUGUUCUGAAAGUAUGCAGUCUGAGUUGAUUAUCAUAAUCAGUUAAAACUUUCAACAACGGAUCUCUUGGUUCCGGCAUCGAUGAAGAACGCAGCGAAAUGCGAUAAGUAAUGUGAAUUGCAGAAUUCAGUGAAUCAUCGAGUCUUUGAACGCACAUUGCGCCCCCUGGUAUUCCGGGGGGCAUGCCUGUCCGAGCGUCAUUGCUGCCCUCAAGCACGGCUUGUGUGUUGGGCCCCGUCCCCUCCCCCGGGGACGGGCCCGAAAGGCAGCGGCGGCACCGCGUCCGAUCCUCGAGCGUAUGGGGCUUUGUCACCCGCUCUGUAGGCCCGGCCGGCGCCAGCCGACACCCAACUUUUAUUUCUAAGGUUGACCUCGGAUCAGGUAGGGAUACCCGCUGAACUUAAGCAUAUCAAUAAGCGGAGGAAAAGAAACCAACAGGGAUUGCCUCAGUAACGGCGAGUGAAGCGGCAAGAGCUCAAAUUUGAAAGCUGGCCCCCUCGGGGUCCGCGUUGUAAUUUGCAGAGGAUGCUUCGGGUGCAGCCCCCGUCUAAGUGCCCUGGAACGGGCCGUCAUAGAGGGUGAGAAUCCCGUCUGGGACGGGGUGCCUGCGUCCGUGUGAAGCUCCUUCGACGAGUCGAGUUGUUUGGGAAUGCAGCUCUAAAUGGGUGGUAAAUUUCAUCUAAAGCUAAAUACUGGCCGGAGACCGAUAGCGCACAAGUAGAGUGAUCGAAAGAUGAAAAGCACUUUGAAAAGAGAGUUAAACAGCACGUGAAAUUGUUGAAAGGGAAGCGUUUGCGACCAGACUCGCCCGCGGGGUUCAGCCGGCAUUCGUGCCGGUGUACUUCCCCGUGGGCGGGCCAGCGUCGGUUUGGGCGGCCGGUCAAAGGCCCUCGGAAUGUAUCACCUCUCGGGGUGUCUUAUAGCCGAGGGUGCAAUGCGGCCUGCCCGGACCGAGGAACGC
rnacentral:misc_RNA from 1 species